rnacentral:rRNA from 1 species
ACUCGCCUACAUGAAUGAAGCCGGAAUCGCUAGUAAUCGCGGAUCAGCAUGCCGCGGUGAAUACGUUCCCGGGCCUUGUACACACCGCCCGUCACACCACGAGAGUUUGUAACACCCGAAGUCGGUGGGGUAACCUUUUGGAGCCAGCCGCCUAAGGUGGGACAGAUGAUUGGGGUGAAGUCGUAACAAGGUAGCCGUAUCGGAAGGUGCGGCUGGAUCACCUCCUUUCUAUGGAG